rnacentral:rRNA from 1 species
UACAGGGGGUGCAAACGUUGCUCGGAAUCAUUGGGCGUAAAGCGCACGUAGGCGGUCUGUUAUGUCGGAUGUGAAAGCCCUUGGCUCAACUGAGGAAGUGCAUCCGAAACUGGCAGGCUAGAGUACUAAAGAGGAUCGCGGAAUUCCCGGUGUAGAGGUGGAAUGCGCAGAUAUCAGGAGGAACACCUAUAGCGAAGGCAGCUUGCUGGGACGUUACUGACGCUAAGGCGCGAAAGCGUGGGGAGCGAACAGG